UUGGCCCAACAGGCAGGGCUCACAAGGAAACCCCAUGCGAGCAUGCGGCAAUCUCUUUGUGUGCCGUGUGAUGCCGAAUAGGAUAGGAGGGCUCAUGAUCGGCUGCCGCAUGGCCCGUUUCGGUGGAAAAAACUAUAGCGGCUGGCUGAGCCCUUACCGUUAUGGCCAGCUGAACAAGCCAGAUUGCCUGAAGGGAACCGACUAAACCGAAUUCAUGCACAAGCCUACUAAAUACCAUCGACAUCCAGAAACAUAUAUCACUUUCUACCAGGAUAGUAAGUAAAUAAUUAAAUAAAUAUAAAUAGGUCUCUUAUUUUUAUAUUUGGGAAGAGUGCAAAGAGCUUAUUGUUGGGAGAGACCAUUGCAGAUUUGCCAAUCUCAAACUUCUACUUUUUUGUCACAUUUCCUUAAAACAAAUCACUGGAAUAUCUUCAGGUCUAUGUGGCAUAACAUAAACAUAUUAAUUAGUAUGUCAAGAUUCUUCACGUAUGGAAAAUAUUUAGUGCUACUCGAUAGAAAAGCAGAGCUCACUUGUGCAAAUCGCUGAAAUGACAAAUUCUGAGAACAUGUAUUACUGUUGUAGAAGAACUUUACUGCACUUGAUAUUGUAGGGGACGAGCUAAUUACCUGAAAAUCCAGCUGCACUAUCUUCCCGAGAGACACAGAGGAUCUAUGAAGACCCUCAGAUUCUUUUCAUACAUACCACGGCUGAAGGAACUGUCAUCAUCCUUUGAUAUCGACAAAAAUAUACUGUUGUGCAUAUUAAGCUAUUUACUAUUUUUAUGAAUUAUCUUUUGAUUUAUGUUUCAUGUCAUUUGAAAACAAAUAAAAUGCCAUCCAUAGGAAAACGGCUGCCUUGGUAUUAAAUAGGAUUAUACUUUGUAUUAGCGGAGUUCACCCCCCAAAGGUUAUCUAAUUUGCAUAUUGCAAUAUGCAAAUAAGGUAAUAGGCAUAUUUCAUAAAAAACUAGAAUUCUGGAAAUGAGUUAACUUACCAAUCUCUUAAUAACUCUCAGCAAAAGUUUCUGAUCUUUCACUUCGGUUUUCAGGUGCAGUACUUCAACGAAGCUGUCCAAGUUUUCAGGAGACAUACUAUCCAUGUUGUCCCCACCAUACAGUUGAACUAACAAUGAUAAACACUGUGAUGCAUUUUCAUAUAUUUCAGUGUCUUCACUGGGAAGCUAAAAAUAAAACAAGGAAACACAGUCGUUAACAUUGCAGAAUUCAGUGUGAUGGCUUUUUGGAUUCGGUAACAGGCACUUUACUUAAUCUCAUCAGAUGCUUGAUCUCAUUUUCUCUUGGUAAAAAGAGGCAAUGCAUGUUGCAAAGUUUUUAGAAAGAGGCUCUGUCAAACGGUGAAAUAAGUGUCAUAAAAUGUGUUUUUGUCAACUACAUAUUUUGCAUGUAGCACAAAUUGUAUUGUGACUUGCUCACUGGCAAACAAAAGAGGGGUAACAUAUAAAUAGUAAUAGUUCUUAAAAAAGCGCACAUGAUGCAUCAGUCUUCCGAAUAUUGGCAUGGAAGACUGUCAGGAAAUGACUGCCUUGAGUUCCACAAUAGAAGAAAGAUGGAAUAUAAAUGUUAAUUAGUGCACUUGAGAGACUGACAGACAUCGUGGUGUGCUGGUUUGGAUGUUGGACUAUGAUUGUGGAAAUACCUCAACUCAACCCUGGAAAUCCACUGUAUGACAUUGGGUCAAAAAAAGGUAGGGAACCACUGUUUUAGAUAUAUAUGUUCUUUUUUCCCAAACUAAACUAACUAAAUAAAAUCAAGAAUCCCCAAUAACACUACUUAUAUUUAUUGAAAAUAGAGUAGAGUCUGGCUUAUCCAAUGUUCUAUAUGAUCCAACGCAAUCUGACUUUUAGUAGUCAAUGUUUUUGUAGUCAAUGUUUUUAAUAUAUUGCAAUGCUUGGGUGCUAAAUUCGUAAAUACGAGGGUUGAAUGAAAAGUAAUGCCUCCACCUUCGUAACUCCUCAACAGAUGGCAGUACUGGUAUGCGGCAGGUACUGGUUUGUUCAGUAGACUCUCCUCUACAGUUCCAUUUGGUGGGAAGCCUUAGCAUUGAACGGCUAUGUUGUUAAAGUGCGAAGUAUGGAAACCUGCGCAGACGGUCAGUCAAUGUGACUUAAGCAACAUGCAGUCAUUGAAUUCUUGACAGCAGAAGGUGUCAUGCCAAAGGAGAUUAAUCAGAGAAUGCAAGCUGUUUAUGGUGAUUGUGUUGAUGUGAGUACUCUGUGUCGUUGGGCGAGUAAGUUUAAAGAUGUUCAGGUGGGAACAUCUGACUUGCGUAGCAAACAGAGUUGGACGUCCUGUGACAGCAACCAUCGAGUUUCACAAGCAAAAAGUUGACAGAUUGAUUCAGGACAAUCGUCGUAUCACUCAGAGAGAAUUUUUAAGCAUAAUCGGCAUUUCACAAGAACGUGUGGGUCACAUUAUUGCUUUGCUUGGCUAUCGGAAGAUCUGUGCACAAUGGGUACUGUGAGACGUUGGUUGCAGAAACAGAGUGCCGACUUCUUCCGUGACGGCUUCAGAAAACUUGUUCAUUGUUGGCAGAAAUGUAUCCAAUUGUCUGGUGAUUAUGUGGAAAAGCGAAUUGUGGUAGUUAAAGAGCACAUUCUAAGGAUAAUUUCUGCAUUUGAUUUAUUAAAAUAUUCCCAUCCAAACCCAAGUAAUGAAGAUGGAGACAUUACUUUUCAUUCAACCUUCGAACUAUAUAAUGUUACCAUGUAUUGAACUGCUUUUUCUGUCGAUUUGUUGUAAAACAUGAUGUUUUGGUGCUUAAUUUGUAAAAUCAUAAUGUAAUUUGGUGUUUAAUAGGCUUUUCCUUAAUCCCUCCUUAUUAUCCAAUAUUUUCGCUUAUCUAACGUUCUGCCGACCUGUUUAUGUUGGAUAAGUGAGACUGUAUUGUAUAGUAAAUUUCUGUAUCAUUCCCCUGAAUAUUCUUGGCAUUCCACUGUUUAUACAUUUUCAUUUUCUACAUCUGUGCCUAUGAAAAUACUGCAGAGAUUGUGUUUAAACUGAAUGUACUUUAUUGUGCUAGACUAAGACUAUUAGAACUUCAGCAUGUCUACACCAUCCACGAAUCUUAGAAAACAAACUCAUUUGCAUAAUGUGUACAAAAUGCAGAAUUGAUAUUUUGUUUCAAUAAAGAAUUUCACUUGUU